UUUCCCCCUCCUUCUCUUUACGAUGUGCUGGAGGGAGGGAAGGAGAGAGGGGGGCUGGAGGGCAGCUCACAUUCAAAGCUUGAAAGGAAAGGCUUAAGGAGAGUGACAGCCCCCCGAGGAGCCCCUCCUCCCGUUAAGGCGGCGCGGCGGCCGGGCCGGAGGCGCUGCGGGAGCGGCCGCGCCGGGCUUCAGGCGUGCUACCCUCGCUGGUCCUGCUCCCUACGACGAGGAGGGGAAAAACGAGUUCUCUAGCUCGAGUGACGCGUGUUCCCAAACUUCCCAGUGAUUCAAGUGAGGGCAGAGCUGCUACCAGAACGGUAGGGAGGAUUAGGCUCAAAAUGGGACCGACUUUGUUCUUUCUGAAAUAGAAAGGGAGGUCCUGGUUUCAGUGUGCUGGUACUCUCCGGGAGUGCAAAGCUAACUGCUAGUGGUGUAGUGCGACCGUGUACUUCUCUGCCGUACUUUCAGUAUUGCAGCUUUCCACUUGCCGCAUACCCCACCGAUUUUAAAGUCAUUCAGCUCAGCUUCUCGCCUGCAAUUCUUGUGCACGGUUUUGAUACACUGACUUACGAGGGUGCCUGUUGGCUGUAGAUCCCGGUAUAGUUCUUCGAUACUUUGAUACUUGAUCUGCCAUCUUGUAAAAUGUUUUUAAAAAGCUGUUUAGAGUUUUAAUUUAAUUCAAAAUCCCUUGCUGAAGUUCUGCCUUCUUGUUACACUUUCAAUUUAUAAGGAAAUAGAAACAAAAAUAUUAAGGCACAAGGAGAAGAGCGCAACGAAGGAAAAUGCCCCACGGUGCCGUUGGAGGGAAGAGGGCCGGGAUGCCAGGAUGUUCCAGGCAUAAGAGAGUCUGAGAGGGGGGAUUGCAAUGGAGCAGGAUCAUGGCUUGGGGCCUCCUGAGCUUCCUCAGCCCGGGAGAGAGGAGUCCCAGUGGGGCUGCCUUCUACAGAUAACUGGGUGAUGAGCUCUGCCCCCUCCCAGCUCCUGCCUUCAUUUGCAAAAUCCAUCCAGCUCGGCUGUGCUUCAUUUCUUGAACAGAAGGCAGGCUGUUUACUACUCUGUGAGGAAAGGCAGCAGCUGAACUUCGGGCCUCCCAGGAGGGGGAGUAAAGGAGCCUUCACUCUGGCCUUGCAUCGUUGUGUGGCUGGGAAGAAUCUGCUGUACUGCGGCAGGAGCAGGAAGAGGAUCAAUGCUUGGUCCCACUGACGGUGCUGACGGACUUCCCUGGCUGGAAUGGGAAGAUGGGGCAUGGCAUGAAACAUCACGUUAUUCAUAGGUAGAAAUUUUCACACACAGCUUUUAGUUAAAUAAAUGAAUAUUUUGUACCAUUUGAUAAUGGAAAUGUUGGUUUUGAAGUUUUGGUAUCAUACAGCUGGCAAAAAAUUUAACAGAAAAUAGGUGGAUUCGCCAAUUACCACACCUUAUAGCUGUCUAGAAUAUAAUCAUCUACAUUCACAAUUAUAUAUUGUCAAUAAAUUAACUUCCUAAAAUGGUUUAAAA